AUUUUCAGUUGCAAUUGCAUGGGAUUAUUCAGUGAGAAGCAGAAUUUCUGUAAGUGUCCCUUGGCACAAGUUAAUAUGGUUGCGCUACUUUUUUUCGUGGAUAGACAACUGGAAUGGAACAAUGAGCCUACGAAAAAUGCUAAUUUUAUAAGAGUUUGGUAAGCGAGGAUGACUUAUAUUUUCACCUGGAGUUUCUUUAAGAUUAAUCGGAAGUAAGUUUUAGCACUGAAUAAUAUUCAUAUUCAGUUAAAUAUCGGAAGGAGUUCAUGCGGGCUGCAAUUGCAAAGGCAUUGAAAGACGAAGUUAUACACUUUCAUGUAGGUUUUGUGUCGAACAGUUUGUGUGCAACACCAAUGUGAAACAAUCCAGCAAGACACACACUUCACAUUAGAAGACGAAACCAACACAAGACAGAAAAAUUCAACAAAAUUAUUAAAGUGUACCGUUAUAAAUCUGAACGGAAGAGGGUUGAGCGACGUGGAGCAUAUAAAAUAGGCAACAGUUGGCCCUUAUCACCUUCUCUCAGGCUGCUAAAUUCCACAGGACAGCCUCCUUUCAAAUAUAAUAUGUUUCUCCUUCUGAUUGGCUCUAUUAGAUGACGGUAUUGACCUUUCCAAGAUUCAAUUUAUAAGACAACCAGAGCCAACAUUUUUCAGACAGUGAAGUUGGAUUGAUGGAACUCGCCACUCCCUUUUUCUUUUUUUUAAGCGCUCCACUGCUUGUGCUGGAUUGUCUGAAUCCAUUUCUUUCAUAUUUCUUGAGAUUUAUCGGUUCUGUCUUUCAUUUUUCAAACUUCUU
rnacentral:misc_RNA from 1 species